rnacentral:rRNA from 1 species
GCCCAAAAUGGGAUUAGCUUAUAAGUGGGGCCAUUGCUCACCUAGGCGACGAUCCCUAGCUUGUUUGAGAGGAUGACCAGCCACACUGGAACUGAGACCACGGUCCAGACUCCUACGGGAAGUAGCAGUGGGAAUAUUGGACAAUGGGCGAAAGCCUGAUCCAGCCAUGCCGCGUGUGUGAAGAAGGUCUUCGGAUUGUAAAGCACUUUAAGUUGGGAGGAAGGGCAUUAACCUAAUACGUUAGUGUUUUGACGUUACCGACAGAAUAAGCACCGGCUAACUCUGUGCCAGCAGCCGCGGUAAUACGGAGGGUGCAAGCGUUAAUCGGAAUUACUGGGCGUAAAGCGCACGCAGGCGGUCUGUCAAGUCGGAUGUGAAAUCCCCGGGCUCAACCUGGGAACUGCAUUCGAAACUGGCAGGCUAGAGUCUUGUAGAGGGGGGUAGAAUUCCAGGUGUAGCGGUGAAAUGCGUAGAGAUCUGGAGGAAUACCGGUGGCGAAGGCGGCCCCCUGGACAAAGACUGACGCUCAGGUGCGAAAGCGUAGGGAGCAAACAGGAUUAGAUACCCUGGUAGUCCACGCCGUAAACGAUGUCGACUUGGAGGUUGUUCCCUUGAGGAGUGGCUUCCGGAGCUAACGCGUAAGUCGACCGCCUGGGGAGUACGCCG